UCAUUUUUGUGACGUUGCAGCU
rnacentral:miRNA from 2 species